rnacentral:rRNA from 1 species
UUGUCUUGAGGGUUAAGCCAUGCACGCCUAUGCUCACCCUACACAGAAGGGGAAGCCGCGAACUGCUCAGUAUAUCGGCGAUAAUACACGGGGUGGGCGAUGUUUGUCCGGACACCUGUAGGAAUCCCAGAGCUAAUACGUGCACACGAGUCCUCCUCCUCUAACCGGCGGCGAUUCGUUCGCGGGUCGUUGUCGCGGGGAGAGGGCGCAUUUAUUAGGAUCUCGACCGGCGGCGGGCGGUUAAUCCCGCUCGCCAGGCUGAGGCGAACUCUGGGUAUGUGACGACCGCUUUCUAGCGGCGUGCCCGUUUGCUCGCCGUCCCAUCAAAUUUAGACGGCCCGGGCAAGAGCCCCCCGUGUUGGCUACGGGUGACGGAGGAUCAGGGUUCGAUCCCGGAGAGGGAGCCUGCGAGACGGCUACCACGCUUAAGGGUGGCAGCAGGCGCGCAACUUACCCACUCCCAGCACGGUGAGGUAGUGAAGAUAAAUGUCGGGGCUGGGCUCGCAUGCGAGCCUAGCGGUCGGAUUGAGCGUAGACCAAACACGUGCCGUUGAUGACCUAUCGGAGGGCAAGCCUGGUGCCAGCAGCCGCGGUAAUUCCAGCUCCGAUGGCGUAUGUUGUAGUUGCUGCGUUUAAAACGCUCGUAGUUGGAUCUCAGAGGUGACGGCGGUGACACACCGCGGGUGGCGUUGUCCCGGCGAUUAUGCACCGUCGCGGUUUCGGGGAUGGAUGUCUCGACCUCGUGUCCGGAAGGGGCUCAGGCUUCGACCGGCGCGGGGACUCAUCGGGCGCCGGACCCUCGCGACGGAUCUCGUCGGGCAUCGCUCGCCCGUCGCCGCCGGUUUAGUCUCUUUCCGUCCCAAGUCUCGUCGUGUCGCUCGGUACGUGGCGUAUCCAGAGCGCCGACGCUGAUCGGGCGGUGUUCUCCCUGAAUCAAUUGGAGUGCUCAAAGCAGGUCGUGCUCGCACAGUUUUGCUCGGAACGAUGUGAUGACGCCACCGUCCCGUCACGCCUUUGCGCGCGCGGGCCCGGUCCUCGCGGGGACGGUGGGCGAGGUCUAUAGAGACGGCCGGGGGGCGGCGUACUACCGCGGGAGGGGUGGAAUCCGACGAUCGCGGUGGGACGAACGAGAGCGAAGGCACCGGCCAAGAGCGCCUUCGUUGAUCAUGAACGAAAGUCGGAGGAACGAACGCGAUCAGGUACCGCGGUAGUUCCGACAGUAAACCAUGCCGACCGGUUACGCGGGGACGUCCCCAGUGGGGAAGCCUCGCGAGGCCCCGGAGAAAUCAGAGUGCCUGGGCUCCGGGGGGAGUACGGUCGCAAGGCUGAAACUUAAAGGAAUUGACGGAAGGGCACCACCAGGAGUGGAGCCUGCGGCUCAAUUUGACUCAACACGGGGAAGCUUACCAGGUCCGGACACCGCGCGGAUUGACAGACUGAAGCUCUUUCUUGAUUCGGUGGGUGGUGGUGCAUGGCCGUUGCUAGCCCGUGGAGCGAUCCGUCUGGUUCAUUCCGAUAACGGGCGAGACUCUACCCUGGCGGAUAACAAACGUCGAUCGAGAGGGGUUCGUCUCACGGGUGGGGUCGGUGCUCACGCGUCGGCCUCGCCACUCAGGGAGAGACGAUGCCCCGGAUCGUCGUCGCGCAGGCCGCGUCCUGCAGGGAUUGACCUCGAGCAGUGCGUACGAGAGGGAGCCAUAACAGGUCUGUGAUGCCCUUAGACGUCCUGGGCUGCACGUGUGCUACAGUGGCGGCGCUAGCCGGCUCGGUGUAGACCGUGAGCGAAGGAGUCUUCAUGUCCGGGGUCGGUCUUCCUGCGAGUUGGGCCGUGAACUCGGAAUGCCACGUAGUCACGGGUCAGCAUCCCGUGCCGACUACGUCCCUGCCCUUUGUACACACCGCCCGUCGCUACCUUCGGUGGACGGCGCAGCCAGGACUUCGGAGUGACCGGCGAAACGGGUCGGUUCGUCCGGCUCGAUAAUCGCAGUUGUCGCGAUGUCGUCCGAACUGCGUUGCCCCGAGAGGGUAAAAGUCGUAACAAGGUUA